UUAGUGAUGGUGGUGGUAGUAGUAGUAGUAAUGAUCAUGGUAGUGAUAGCAGUUUAGUGAUGGUGGUGGUAGUAGUAGUAACGAUGAUUGUAGUGAUUGCAGUUUAGUGAUGGUGGUGUUAAUAGUACUAAUGAUGAUGGUAGUGAUUGCAGUUUAGUGAUGGUGGUGGUAGUAGUAGUAAUGAUCAUGGAGGUGAUAGCAGUUUAGUGAUGGUGGUGGUGGUAGUAGUAAUGAUGAUGGUAUUGUUAACAGUUUAGUGAUGGUGGUAGAAGUAGUAAUGAUGAUGGUAGUGAUAGUAGUUUAGUGAUGGUGGAGGUAGUAGUAGUAAUGAUGAUGGAAGUGAUAGCAGUUUAGUGAUGGCUGUGGUAGAAGUAGUAAUGAUGAUGGUAGUGAUAGCAGUUAAGUGAUGAUGUGGUAGUAGUAGUAAUGAUGAUUGUAAUGGCCGUCGUAUGAUUUGGCCAAAGGCGCAGCGGGUUGAGUGCUCAUUUUGACGUUUAUUUUAAAUAACCACAAACACUUCACAAGAAAACGGCCGACAACAUAACAGUUUGCAGGUUAACCCUAGCAGUGCAAAACAACCUCCCACAAUUCCCAAAACAAACAUACUUCUAAAUAUAGGACCUUCAAACAGAGGCAACGAUAACCAGCUGCCUCCAAUUGAAGGCCCCAAUCCCAAUUACUAAACAUAGAAAUAAACACCCAAGAAACAGACAUAGAUCUACACAACAUAGAACUAAAC
rnacentral:lncRNA from 1 species